AGCAACCCACUCCAUUACGCGAAUCAGACUGAAGCGAGCGGAAAAAGUUUGUCGUUGCUCCCUCACCCGCCCCCGCGUCGCUCCCUUGGGGCGACUCGGGCGGCCCCCAACCCUAGCCCGCCGCCGGCCUCUCCCCUCCUCCCUCCCGACCUUGCCGCCACCGGAGACAGCUGCCGGCAAGCCCGCGCGGCGCCGAGGAAGGUGGCGGCGAGGCUUGCCGCUCCUGCCUCGCGCGGAGGGCAUGGUGUGCCGGGGUGGCGGCCCCGGUCAAGGUGGGCAGCGUUGUUCCCUGCGGCGGACGGCGGCUGCGGGUGCUCGGCUGGGCUCCUCGGCUUGCUUGGGCGGCGAGGCCCCGGUGGAUGGAGCUCGCGGUGGCCGGAUUUCCUCCGUCGGUCGGCCUCCAGAUCUGAACCGGCCAGCUCCAAAUCCACCCUCCUCACCUUCUCCCGUUCGAUCUAAGCUCCGGUGCGGCCCUGCUCGCCGGAUCCGGUGGUUGCCGGUGUUUUGGCGGUGGGGCUCCUGGGACCGGGGGAAACCCUUGGCCGCCGCCGGCGGCCACAACCACGACGAUGCCGCGGCGUCGAACUACUUCUUGGAGGCUUCGUUGAGUAACGAAGGCUGCUGUCGAGCAACAGUAUGAUACAGACGGGAAAAAUGGCUACAGUAAGCAGGCAUUUCUGCAGUGUAAACAGAGCAGGGAAUUACAACGGUUGGCGAACCACGCAUUAAUUGAUCAGCACGUCACCUGCAGAAGCAACACCGCAAAUCGAUGGAGCAACGUGGUGAGAUCUCAGUUGUAGUUCCCACUCGAAUCAGAAACAACUAGUGAUGGGGCGUACCAUAGCAGGUGAUGGGGGCGGUGGGGAAAGACAGGCGGCUAAGAAGUAGGGCGCGGCUCUGCUCACCCAUCUCGGCGGAGCCAUGCAGCUAAAGCACGAGCUCGCCCUUCGGCGUCGCAGCAGAGGGAGGCGACAUCCUGACUGACGGUGGUUUGUGCUGAUGAAGGGUGCGGGAAGGGAAACGAGUAAGGGCGUGGGAGGCGUGGGCUCUGCGUGACGAAGAUGGCGGCAGCGUGCCGUGCCGUGCGGCCGAACAUGCCCUCACCCUACCCCGUUGUCGUUGCGGUGGGGCGGGAGCGACCACGAAGGGCGCCGGCCGGGCGGCGUCCCUUCGCAGAUUGCAUUGCUUUUCUAUCUGGGUCUUUCUAGGACACAUCUAGAUGUGAUAUAGUUAUGUCACAUCUAAACUGAUGUCCACUUUGCUUGUGGUUUAAUUUUUUUUCUUGUUAAUGAAUUAUAUAUUUGUGAGAGCUUAGAUGUGACAUCCUUAAAAAACAUCUAGAUGUGAAUUA